GUUCCGGGACGGGAAGUAUAAC
rnacentral:miRNA from 1 species